UAGAAUCGUAGUUGCAUGCCCUGGGUUGGAGCCCUGUUACCGUCGACGAUUUCAGCCAUUGUUUGCUUCUGGUCAUCGGUUGAGAAAGUGAUCUUCCUAGCCAUCGCUGCUACACCUGCUUCAUCCCUGACCGGUGGAGCUUGUAUGACUGUGGGAGCACUCCCCAUACCGGGGAACCAGUGCAAUAGGGGUGUGGGGGUGAGCUCUUGUGGGAUUCCACUCUCUAGGAUUAUUGUUCUUGUCAUUUUCGUUUAGAAUUUUGGAUUUAGAGAGGUAAAGUUGGUUAGGGUUUUGCCAGCGGCGGUGGCGUCUGCCAGACCGGUCGCCAGAGUCUCUCACUUCCCGCUUCUUUGUGUAUUUACUACUGCUCGAAGACUCAG
rnacentral:lncRNA from 1 species